rnacentral:rRNA from 1 species
UACAUGGGGUGCAAACGUUGCUCGGAAUCAUUGGGCGUAAAGAGCUCGUAGGCGGUCUGUCGCGUCUGCUGUGAAAACUCAGGGCUUAACCCUGAGCUUGCAGUGGGUACGGGCAGACUAGAGUGCGGUAGGGGAGACUGGAAUUCCUGGUGUAGCGGUGAAAUGCGCAGAUAUCAGGAAGAACACCCGUGGCUAAGGCGGCUCUCUAGUACGGUACUGACGCUGAGACGCGAAAGCGUGGGGAGCGAACAGG